rnacentral:rRNA from 1 species
UACGUAGGGUCCGAGCGUUGUCCGGAAUUAUUGGGCGUAAAGGGCUCGUAGGCGGUUCGUCACGUCGGGAGUGAAAACUCGGGGCUUAACCCCGAGCCUGCUUCCGAUACGGGCAGACUAGAGGUAGGCAGGGGAGAGCGGAACUCCUGGUGUAGCGGUGGAAUGCGCAGAUAUCAGGAAGAACACCGGUGGCGAAGGCGGCAUUCUGGACCAUAACUGACACUGAGAGACGAAAGCCAGGGGAGCAAACGGG